ensembl:processed_transcript
CGAUGACGGUCUGAGGAGAAUGCGAAUCGUGACGGACUCAACAUCUGAAGCGCCUUCAGAAAAUACUUCUGUCUCACGCAAGAAACGGCGAGUCCAUCCUCACGCAGAGCCAACAGAGCCGCCUGAGACACACACAAGAGUCCAGCUUUACACAUCUCAGCAGGAACAAAUGAGUUUCUUAUGGUCACCUGGAGGUCAGGAGGAGGCACGUAUAUGAUCUGGUCGAGUCGUCCAGGUCUGAGCAGAGCGCUGUCCAGAGCCUCGGGUCUGUUAGUGGCGGCCACAAUCAAAACAUCCUUAUUGCACACUUCCUGCAGCUCCAUCUGAAAUGUGCUCCGUCUCUCCAGCGUUCGCACGCCCACCCCAUCCAGCUCCGUCAGCAGAACCGACAGAACCUGCGACUGCACGCUGUGGGAAGAAGAAGAGCCGUCCUCUCGAGAGCCCACCAUACUGUCCACCUCAUCCAGGAACACGAUAGAUGGAGCACACGCUCGCGCCUGAGCGAACAGCUGACCGCAGAAGCGUACCUGACAGAUCUACUAGAUGUCCCUCGUGCACGUAUAUACCGUCCAGCAGCUCCUGGAGACUCCGCUCUGAAACCCUCUUCUUGUGCUCCAGACGCUGCACGAACACCUUCAGCUUCACACAG